rnacentral:rRNA from 1 species
CUCGUAGGCGGUUCGUCGCGUCCGGUGUGAAAGUCCAUCGCUUAACGGUGGAUCCGCGCCGGGUACGGGCGGGCUUGAGUGCGGUAGGGGAGACUGGAAUUCCCGGUGUAACGGUGGAAUGUGUAGAUAUCGGGAAGAACACCAAUGGCGAAGGCAGGUCUCUGGGCCGUUACUGACGCUGAGGAGUGAAAGCGUGGGGAGCGAACA